GUGAUGAAGGGAUGUCGUUGAGCGGUGAAAGAGCCUUCGAUCUCUGA
rnacentral:snoRNA from 2 species